GAUGAACGCUGGCGGCGUGCUUAACACAUGCAAGUCGAACGGAAAGGCCCAAGCUUGCUUGGGUACUCGAGUGGCGAACGGGUGAGUAACACGUGGGUGAUCUGCCCUGCACUUCGGGAUAAGCCUGGGAAACUGGGUCUAAUACUGGAUAGGACCACUUCUUGGAUGGUGUGGUGGAAAGUUUUUUCGGUGUGGGAUGAGCUCGCGGCCUAUCAGCUUGUUGGUGGGGUAAUGGCCUACCAAGGCGUCGACGGGUAGCCGGCCUGAGAGGGUGUACGGCCACAUUGGGACAUGGACACGGCCCAGGAUUCUACGGGGGGCAGGAGUGGGGAAUAUUGCACAAUGGGCGCAAGCCUGAUGCAGCGACGCCGCGUGGGGGAUGACGGCCUUCGGGUUGUAAACUCCUUUCGCUAGGGACGAAGCGUUUUUGUGACGGUACCUGGAGAAGAAGCACCGGCUAACUACGUG
rnacentral:rRNA from 1 species